UCUCCAUUGCACUUUACUGAAUUUGUUACUAAACUAUCUAGCUUGACCUUUUUGAAUUUUUGUUAAAUGAUUUGCCUUCCAGUCACAAAAAUUCCAGCAUUGAAUGUGUCAAACACACAAGGAGGAUGGAAAGCAGUCCAGACCACUGAUUGAACAGUAGGAAAUGGGCUGAUGGGAUGAGUUAAAAAAAGAGGAAAAUGUGGUUUGGGAGGAAAUGCUAUAAAGUGACUGCCGUUGGGAUAGCGGAGAGGAGGAAGGACCCGGAGGAAUGAAAGAAAGAGCAAGGGAUGGCUGAGCAUGGGAUCAACGAAAUCGCGGGAAAACGAGGGGGGAAAGGAGGAUCAAGGAAAGGAGAGAAGACCCGAACUGAUUGGAGUUCUUAUUUUAAUGGAAGAAAUGGCAGUUACAUAACAAAUGAAUGCAGUGGAACAGCAAUUUGGAAUCAUCAGUAUUAUUCCUUUGCCAAGACUGGAAUGACGGAAAGAAUUUCAGCACGAACGGUAAUUGUGAAUCUGACCUUACUUUUCUUUUUCUUUCCAUUUAUAUUUUAAAAUCUGUUCCGUGCAUGACAGUAGGAAGAAUUUCAAACAAUUCAAUGUAUCUUUGAUGUUCAGAACUAUUUAAUAUUUAUUUGAGAGUCUAUGUUGAUACAUAUCUUGACAACAUAGUUUUGACUAACACAUUACCUGAUGCCCCCAAAAAAAUGACACAAUGCAAACACGUACACAUUUUUGGCUACAUAUUUUGGGAUAAAUUUAAUGUGAAACCCCUUUUAAGUACAUAUACAGUACACAUAGCGUACAAUUUAAAGUUAAACACCCAAACAAAAUGAAUAUGAACAAACACAUAUAGGCACACAUCCAGACGCACACAGCUGGCACGGCACUUUGCUGCCUCUGACAACACUGCCCUGGCAACCGAUGGGCACAUCGCCAAGCAAGCAAGUUGCCAAGCAGCGAGUUCCCAUAGCAACCUGCCAUUUUCUGGCUUUCUGAAUAAGGUAUCGGCAGUGGCAGACAGACAUACGGGCUUAAGGGUGAUGAGUUUGGGUAAGGUGGAGUGGAGGAGAAGAAGAGAAAAAAGAUGAAAAUAAAAAGAUAUAAUGCAGAAUGAGAAAUGAGUGAGUGAGUGAGUGAUAGAGAGAGAGAGAGAGAGACAGAGCGAGAGAAAGAGAGAGAGAGAGAGAGAGAGGAGGGAGACAGAGUUUUGUCAGCCGACCUCAGAAUGAACUUAAUCCUGCAUAAUAAACAUUGAAUACAUUUAACGACGCACUUAUUUAUACAUUAAAUUGUGAGCCUUUG